GUCUACGGCCAUGCCACCCUGAAUGCACCCAAUCCCGUACGAUCUCGAAGCUAAGCAGGGUCGGGCCUGGUGAGUACUUGGAUGGGAGACCGCCUGGGAAGACCGGGCGCCGUAGGUG
ensembl:rRNA 5S_rRNA 5S ribosomal RNA